CCUACGGGAGGCAGCAGUGGGGAAUAUUGCGCAAUGGGCGAAAGCCUGACGCAGCGACGCCGCGUGAGGGAUGAAGGUCUUCGGAUCGUAAACCUCUGUCAGCAGGGAAGAACGGUCACUGUGCUAAUCAGCAGUGAAUUGACGGUACCUGCAAAGGAAGCACCGGCUAACUCCGUGCCAGCAGCCGCGGUAAUACGGAGGGUGCGAGCGUUAAUCGGAAUUACUGGGCGUAAAGCGCUCGUAGGCGGUAUGUCAAGUCAAGGGUGAAAUCUCCGCGCUCAACGUGGGAACUGCCUUUGAGACAGGGAAACUGGAGUGUGUGAGAGGAUAGUGGAAUUCCAGGUGUAGGAGUGAAAUCCGUAGAUAUCUGGAGGAACAUCAGUGGCGAAGGCGACUAUCUGGCACAUAACUGACGCUGAGGAGCGAAAGCGUGGGUAGCAAACAGGAUUAGAUACCCGAGUAGU
rnacentral:rRNA from 1 species